rnacentral:rRNA from 1 species
CCCGGCGACCGGCGCACGGGUGAGUAACACGUAUGCAACCUGGCCGCCACAGGGGGAUAACCCGCGGAAACGCGGCCUAAUACCCCGUGACGCCACCGGAGGGCAUCCUCCGGUGGCCAAAGGAGCGAUCCGGUGGCGGAUGGGCAUGCGGCGCAUUAGCUAGACGGCGGGGUGACGGCCCACCGUGGCGACGAUGCGUAGGGGUUCUGAGAGGAACGGCCCCCCACACUGGGACUGAGACACGGCCCAGACUCCUACGGGAGGCAGCAG